ensembl:misc_RNA 7SK 7SK RNA
UAACUUAAACUUUUCGGUGGUAUCUUUCACCCCACUGAUCACCAGGGUUGAUUUGGCUGAUAUGGCUGGCUAGGCAGGUGUCUCCUUCCUCCCUUACCACUCCAUGUGCAUCCCUCCUGAAGCUGCAGGACCACAGGACGACCACCCCUGAUAGAGGAGGACCAUUUCCUUGGUCAAGGGCAUAUAAGUAGCUGCUCUCCCUUUAGAACUUCCCAACAGGCUCAAAAAAUCCAAAAAUGUUAGCUCUCCUAAAAUGAGCAAAACCCUUAUAUACUGGCAGUUUUAAAAUAG